rnacentral:lncRNA from 1 species
ACUGCACUUUAGCAUGAUAAACACAGAUGAGUGACUUUAAUGUGGGUUCUUUUGUUUUCCUGUUUAAUUUGACUUUCCAGAUUUGCAGUUGAUGAUGUGCUGGCCAACUAAGUCCCAACACCCACGAAACUAUAAAAUGCAAAAGCACAAAGGCUUGGGGAAGAUGGCAAGUUAUAACAGAAUAAAGAAAGAUAUCAGGAGGAACAACUCCAGUUCCAGGGUUAAGAAUCGUUGCUGAUUUUUCUAAAAGAGAGACUUUGAUUC